UACGUAGGGGGCAAGCGUUGUCCGGAUUUAUUGGGCGUAAAGAGCGUGUAGGCGGCUUUGCAAGUCCGUUGUGAAAACUCGAGGCUCAACCUCGAGACGCCGGUGGGAACUGCAAAGCUAGAGUCCGGAAGAGGAGAGUGGAAUUCCUGGUGUAGCGGUGAAAUGCGCAGAUAUCAGGAAGAACACCCGUGGCGAAGGCGGCUCUCUGGGACGGGACUGACGCUGAGACGCGAAAGCGUGGGGAGCGAACAGG
rnacentral:rRNA from 1 species